rnacentral:snRNA from 1 species
AUACUUACCUGGCAGGGGUGACACCAUGAUCAAGCAGUGGUUUGCCCAGGUGAGGCUCUGUCAUUGCACUCUGACCGUGCUGACCCUUGUGAAUUCCCCAUGUGGGAAUCUCAACUGCAUAAUUUGUGGUAGUGGGGACUGCGUUCGCUCUCCCCU